GGAGGUUAGCUUGGUCUCAAUUAUUAAGCACUUUACUUCAAAGGUACAAAUGAAAAAUGUUAAAUAUGAGGAGGUAACAGGUUAAUGGGUGCUAGUAGGUGCUUUUUCCCCUAUAUCAUCCAGGGAUUGUAAAAGACCAACUAUGUGACAUGGCAUUCGGCGGACUAAGCUCUUGGCAAGGUCGACCUUCGUCGAAUUAUAUCUUCAUCUUCAUGCGUUGGAUGGUAUGGCAAGGGUUUGACUUAAUUGCGUAUAACUAUUGCCCCCUAGAUUAAAGAUUAAAGAUAGAUUAUUGACUCAGGUUUAGCGAAUCUUUGGUGAGGCUUUAGAAGUUCUAGACUUCAAAAAUUAAUUCUCUGAAUCAUCGUGCCUCUUCAUUGAUUGUUCUUAGACAGCUCAACUCUAAUUGGGGUUUUUGAAACAACACUGUUUCGUUGUCACAAUUGUUUCCUUUUGUGGUUCAUUUUAGUCCCUUUGUGGAUCUGAAACUUUUAUUUGCUUCUACUUUUUCUUUGCACUUGCUCUUUUUCUUCUUUUGUUGUCUUUGGUUGAAAAAUUCCUUUUUUAUUUCUUGUUUUUCCAUUCUUACCAUUUUGUUCUUUAGAAUGGAUAUCAAUUUUUUGAAAUUCCAAACAGAGAAUGCUUUGGUGGCUAGGGAAGAACGAUCGUGUUCCUCUACCAUUGCAGGAAUGAUAAUAAUGUUGAAACUCCAUAUGUCUUAAACAUCCUCAUUACAAAUACAAGUUCUUAGUUACAUCAGCGACACAUCGGAUAAGCUAUGUUCUGGCUAAUGGAAGAUGCUUCCUUUACACCUAUUUGAAGCGAGUUUUCACUUACCCCUUCAUCCUUGGUUUGUUGAGAUGCUAUAGUUGUUCUACAUUUCUUCUGAACAAUUAUCAAAGAACUCUUGGC
rnacentral:lncRNA from 1 species